rnacentral:rRNA from 1 species
GACGAACGCUGGCGGCGUGCUUAACACAUGCAAGUCGAACGGAAAGGCCCUGCUUGCAGGGUCCUCGAGUGGCGAACGGGUGAGUAACACGUGGGUGAUCUGCCCUGCACUUCGGGAUAAGCCUGGAAAACUGGGUCUAAUACCGGAUAGGAGCCAUUUUUAGUGUGAUGGUUGGAAAGUUUUUUCGGUGUAGGAUGAGCUCGCGGCCUAUCAGCUUGUUGGUGGGGUAAUGGCCUACCAAGGCGGCGACGGGUAGCCGGCCUGAGAGGGUGGACGGCCACAUUGGGACUGAGAUACGGCCCAGACUCCUACGGGAGGCAGCAGUGGGGAAUAUUGCACAAGGGGCGCAAGCCUGAUGCAGCGACGCCGCGUGGGGGAUGACGGCCUUCGGGUUGUAAACUCCUUUCGCUAGGGACGAAGCUUUUUGUGACGGUACCUAGAUAAGAAGCACCGGCUAACUACGUG